GCUACACACGUGCUACAAUGGCUACUACAAAGAGCUGCGAAAUGGCAACAUGGAGCGAAUCUCAUAAAAGUAGUCUCAGUUCGGAUUGUGGGCUGCAACCCGCCCACAUGAAGCAGGAGUUGCUAGUAAUCCCGAAUCAGCAUGUCGGGGUGAAUGCGUUCCCGGGUCUUGUACACACCGCCCGUCACGCCAUGGGAGUUGGGAGUACCCAAAGUCGGUGAGCUAACCAAUUGGAGGCAACCGCCUAAGGUAAAACCAAUGACUGGGGUGAAGUCGUAACAAGGUAGCAGUAUCGGAAGGUGCGGCUGGAUCACCUCCUUUUAAGGAG
rnacentral:rRNA from 1 species